UAGGUGGCUUGAUAAGUCAGAUGUGAAAUCCCCGGGCUUAACCUGGGAACUGCAUCUGAUACUGUUGGGCUAGAGUAGGUGAGAGGGAGGUAGAAUUUCAGGUGUAGCGGUGAAAUGCGUAGAGAUCUGAAGGAAUACCGAUGGCGAAGGCAGCCUCCUGGCAUCAUACUGACACUGAGGUUCGAAAGCGUGGGUAGCAAACAGGAUUAGAUACCCUGGUAGUCCACGCCGUAAACGAUGUCUACUAGUCGUUGGGGAACUUGAUUCCUUAGUGACGCAGCUAACGCAAUAAGUAGACCGCNUGGGGAGUACGGCCGCAAGGUUAAAACUCAAAUGAAUUGACGGGGGCCCNCACAANCGGU
rnacentral:rRNA from 1 species